rnacentral:sRNA from 2 species
CAAAAAGUUUUCUAGGGUUCCGCAAUCAUAUCGGUUGGCCUGGUCCGAGAGAAAACUCACAGCAAUUGCUGUGCCACGGAAGGAUAAAAGCCUGGGAGAU